CUCUAAUGUCAUCAAUUUAUUAAUUCGUUCAAAAUGUGAUCUCAGUCAUCCCUCCUUAAAAACAAAACCUGUGAUUUUAGUGCCUUUUAAACUUGUUCGUAUCCAAUCAUGAGUCUGAAGAAAAUUCGACGAAGGCUCUCGCAAACAUUCCGGCUCAGCAUUGACAAUUCCCUAUCUGAGUUGGCAGAAACAUCUCCGUGCAGCAAGGAUGACUCCUGUAAAUCUAAAUGCUAUGUUAAAAAAGGAGCAGCAAAACUGGUGCAGUCUCAUCCAGAAAUCUUUAAACCAAGUCCUGAAAAAGGUAAUUGAGCUAUCUGUCACCUCAUCCAUUUUUUUCUUGUCUCUUUCUCUUCUCUUUCUUUCUACCGAGGACAUACCUAUCUAGGUUAUGAAAAUUAUGAGGUAAUAGAAGGAGAUGACAAUAUAAUUGAAUGCUCUCAUUUUGCAUUCUCUAAUAGUCUCAGGAUCAUGUCGAAACCAUUUGAUAUCUCAAGUGGUAAAAGUCUCUCAUGAUUUUAAGCAGUGAGUGACAAAAAUAGAAAACUAAAAAAUUAGUUUUAGAGUGCCUUUUGAUAAACCCUAAAGAAAUUAUUUCUCGGUUUGGAUAGACGUCAUGAGCCCACGAGCCUUCCUCUGUAGGACUCUCAUGGGGUCUGACAAAAAGGCAAAAUUCAAGGAAACUGAAUGUUUAGAUAAGUGCAUAAAAAAAGCUUGGGAGGGAAGGGGGGGGGGGCAGAUGACUGGAAGUAUCAUGAGGUGUUCAGGCACAAAUAAAUAAUGACAUGUGCACUAGAAAUCCUCAGCUCUAGAAAUUAUGGCUUUUUAUUUAAUCUCUUAUGAAAUGAUUGCUAUUGCAAGUAUGGUGCUGAAGUGCUUAAAACGGUGCUCAACAGACUACUAACUUGAUCUCAACCAUGGGUAUAUUUUUUGUUUGGUCUCUGCCAUCAAAUUUAUGUCUCCUAAGUUCAUUAUAAUUAGUUCAUUUUUUUUAAAUUUAAAAGGUAAUGUUUAAUAACUUAAAUUGACGAGUUAAGUACACGUUUUCGUAGUUCCGCUGUCGAUAUUUCAAAAGUUGCGGGUGUCAUGUUCGGUUUUUGACUCAUUGUUCGGCAAUUUCCGGGUAUUUCCGACAAUUUCCUUUUGUGCUCCGUAGUUCGUGAUCCGAAAACAAGAUGGCGUUGGAGGCUAACCUCAACAUCUCGAAAUUUGCAGUGCGCGUUCCGCCUUCCGUGCCGUGCUUGCCUGCGUCGUGUCGCCGUGCCUGAUGGCUGAAUUAAUGUUUUUUAAAGAUAAUUAUUGCAUUGGUAGCGUCAUUUUAACUUAUUUUCUAAUCUAAAGCUCACUUUGAAGUGGAUUGUUCCGAAUGUGUUAGACUCACGUCGAUUAAGGAAGUAUCACGAGUGUUUUUGUCCGUCAAGAUUUUGCGAUCUUUAUUGUGUAAGCAGUACUCGAGUGUUCCGAUGAUUUUGACAAUCUGUGUCUAUACCGUGCUGUUUGUAUUUAAACUGUGAGUACAAAGUGUCCAGUGU
rnacentral:lncRNA from 1 species